AGAAGCUGAAGCCCGCCGGCUAUGAUAGAGAGUAACACCUUUGAGGGUUAGAAUCAGGGGUGGUUUUUUAUUUUUUGUUUUUAACCUAGGUUGGACUACUAUUUUGUGAAGAAAAUGUAAAUAAAAUAUAGACAUUUUAAAUAAAUUGAAACGAAACACCACUAUUUUGUGAAGAAAAUGUAAAUAAAAUAAAAAUAGUGGGAUCUAUGGCUCGAAUCCUCUAUGAAUGUGGAAGACCCACCCAAUUAACCACUAUGCCAUACAGUACUUCGUUUUAACUUUUCA
rnacentral:lncRNA from 1 species